CACGCUUGAUCUCACCCACGGUUAGGCCUUCACAUCUAGUAAUGGCUCACUGCUGCAAGUUCAACAUCACAUCCACCAAGGAAGAAAAGGAAGCAACAGAGUGUAACAUGGUUCACCAUGAUAGCACAUGGCGUCUGCACAUCUGCUCUGCAGCACAGCCAAGAAGGAACAGAGAGGAAUGGAGAAAGGGGGAAGUAGUUAUCUCUUUCCUGACUUGUAA